rnacentral:lncRNA from 1 species
CCCACCGUGUCCUCGAUCGGAGAAGGAACUCACGAAAGAGACAGUCACGGUUACGCACACAGUUGGCAAGUUUUAAUUAAGUUAACUUCAAGUUAUCUAGAACCAGUGUUAAACAAAGCUUCCACGUUGCCACAUAACCGCGGGCACGGCUUUCCGAAAAGAUUUAACACUGCAGGGGUGCUCCAACUAGUCCAUCACAAAUUACCACAAGCCGCAUAGAAAUCCUCAAUCACGAAGCUCGCGACCUCGUCGGAUUCCCUAGUGGAAAACCUCAACUCUGAGAUUACCCAAAGCAUCACCGGAAUCCCGAUGCACAAGAUAUCUCGUCAAAGGUAAAACUAAUCCAGCAAGGCCGCCCGACGUGUCGAUGAUCCCGAUAGGAGUCGCGUACCUCGUUCUCAGGACACGGCGGAUGAGCUAGACGUCGGGAUCGCUAAA